rnacentral:rRNA from 1 species
UACAGAGGGGGCAAGCGUUGUUCGGAAUUACUGGGCGUAAAGGGCGCGUAGGCGGCCUGUUAAGUCGAACGUGAAAUCCCCGGACUCAACCCGGGAACUGCGUCCGAUACUGGCAGGCUUGAAUUCGGGAGAGGGAUGUGGAAUUCCAGGUGUAGCGGUGAAAUGCGUAGAUAUCUGGAGGAACACCGGUGGCGAAGGCGGCAUCCUGGACCGAUAUUGACGCUGAUGCGCGAAAGCCAGGGGAGCAAACGGG